rnacentral:rRNA from 1 species
CUGAUGCAGCCAUGCCGCGUGUGUGAAGAAGGCCUUCGGGUUGUAAAGCACUUUCAGUAGGGAGGAAAGGGUGAGUCUUAAUACGGCUCAUCUGUGACGUUACCUACAGAAGAAGGACCGGCUAACUCCGUGCCAGCAGCCGCGGUAAUACGGAGGGUCCGAGCGUUAAUCGGAAUUACUGGGCGUAAAGCGUGCGCAGGCGGUUUGUUAAGCGAGAUGUGAAAGCCCUGGGCUCAACCUAGGAAUAGCAUUUCGAACUGGCGAACUAGAGUCUUGUAGAGGGGGGUAGAAUUCCAGGUGUAGCGGUGAAAUGCGUAGAGAUCUGGAGGAAUACCGGUGGCGAAGGCGGCCCCCUGGACAAAGACUGACGCUCAUGCACGAAAGCGUGGGGAGCAAACAGGAUUAGAUACCCUGGUAGUCCACGCCGUAACGAUGUCUACUCGGAGUUUGGUGUCUUGAACACUGGGCUCUCAAGCUAACGCAUUAAGUAGACCGCCUGGGGAGUACGGCCGCAAGGUUAAAACUC